rnacentral:rRNA from 1 species
ACUCCUACGGGAGGCAGCAGUAGGGAAUCUUCCACAAUGGGCGCAAGCCUGAUGGAGCAACACCGCGUGAGUGAAGAAGGGUUUCGGCUCGUAAAGCUCUGUUGUUAAAGAAGAACACGUAUGAGAGUAACUGCUCAUACGUUGACGGUAUUUAACCAGAAAGUCACGGCUAACUACGUGCCAGCAGCCGCGGUAAUACGUAGGUGGCAAGCGUUAUCCGGAUUUAUUGGGGCGUAAAGAGAGUGCAGGCGGUUUUCUAAGUCUGAUGUGAAAGCCUUCGGCUUAACCGGAGAAGUGCAUCGGAAACUGGAUAACUUGAGUGCAGAAGAGGGUAGUGGAACUCCAUGUGUAGCGGUGGAAUGCGUAGAUAUAUGGAAGAACACCAGUGGCGAAGGCGGCUACCUGGUCUGCAACUGACGCUGAGACUCGAAAGCAUGGGUAGCGAACAGGAUUAGAUACCCUGGUAGGAUAGCG